rnacentral:misc_RNA from 1 species
GCUGAUUAGGGGUUGUUCUUACUCUCCCUUGCAAUUAUUUUGUACUUGUAGGGGUGCAUGUAGGCACGGUCCUUGUGAUGCGGUACGUGAUGGUGUGUGAGUGGUAUUUGGUUUGUGUGGUUGGCGGGCUCUUUGCUUGUGCAUUGGACCGUUCACCAACAUACCUUUUCAUUGUAUGCUGCAAGUGCACCAUUUUGCCUUGGGCGACGUGUGGUCCCUAUGUUGGAUUCCGAUUAACGGUAUUGUUGUUGUCCCUUUAAAGAGUGAUAUUCGCUCUACGUCCGUAAAAGGAGGUCGAGCGGACCAUGAAACUUGACUCGUUAUCCUCCUGUUUUGUGAAAACAAGCAUGAUAGGGUUGGAUUAUGAUCUCAAGUUGGGCCCUAGGAUACAGAAAGUUGUGUGGGAGUUGAUGUAAAAACGUCGCAAACCCAAAGCGUUGGUACGCUAAUGAUGGAUGACAUUCGAGUGUGUUGUGAUUCUUUCAUUCUAGAAAGGUUCAUGCUCGCCGAUGUCGACCAAGGAGUGCUACCUGGUUGAUCCUGCCAGUAGUCAUAUGCUUGUCUCAAAGAUUAAGCCAUGCAUGUGUAAGUAUGAACUAAUUCAGACUGUGAAAC